rnacentral:rRNA from 1 species
GACGCUAAGAGACGAAAGCUAGGGGAGCGAACAGGAUUAGAGACCCUGGUAGUCCUAGCCCUAAACGAUGGAUGCUGGAUGUGGGGUCAUAGCGCUCCGUGUCGAAGCGAACGCGUUAAGCAUCCCGCCUGGGGACUACGGCCGCAAGGUUAAAACUCAAACGAAUUGACGGGACCCCGCACAAGCAGCGGAGCGUGUGGUUUAAUUCGAUGCUACACGAAGAACCUUACCUGGGUUUGACAUCUAGGUGGUAGUGAAGCGAAAGCGGAGCGACCCUUCGGGGAGCCUAGACAGGUGCUGCAUGGCUGUCGUCAGCUCGUGCCGUGAGGUGUCGGGUUAAGUCCCGUAACGAGCGCAACCCUUGCCCUCCGUUAUACGUGUCAGAGGGGACUGCCGGCGGUAAGCCGGAGGAAGGUGGGGAUGACGUCAGGUCAGCAUGGCCUUUAUAUCCAGGGCUACACACACGCUACAAUGGCCAGUACAAAGGGCAGCGAAGCCGCGAGGUGGAGCGAAUCCCAGCAAAGCUGGUCGUAGUUCGGAUUGCAGGCUGCAACCCGCCUGCAUGAAGCUGGAGUUGCUAGUAACCGCGCGUCAGCCAUAGUACGGUGAAUACGUUCCCGGGGUUUGCACUCACCGCCCGUC